CCUGACAGGCCGGAGUGCGGGACUGGGGCGAGAGCUGUCAAACGGAAAAUAUAGAAAAUUCGGAAAUAAGUUCAUUUUCGGAUUUUGUUUUUCUUAGCAAAUGGAUACAGUGAUAUUCUUCGUGAGAUCAUUCGCAGAGGACGCGAGCCACGCGACAUGUCAGGAGCAGACGAUAAAGGAUGACGAUUUGAAUUCGAAUUGAAACGAACAGAUUUGAAGGAAAAUGUGAGGAUCGAGAAGGGAAAAUUCCAAGAUGUCGAUCAAAGUGACGUCACCAGUAAAGAUCCCGGAAGUAUUAUAGUGUGGGUUACAUUAGAGUCCAAACUCGCGCAGAAAAUGAAGUCACCGAGGAAUGACGUAAUCGAACGACGCUCGGAAAUGACGGAACAGCGGCGAAACGAAAGAGAGGAGAAGAGAGCGACGUCACCAGGGUUUUGUUCAAAACAACGUUAGCCUCUAACGCUGGCGUUAUUGGAUUACGGUCAUGUGGCCUGCAUCCUUCAGAAGGAUCAUUUACUGUAAGACAGACAGUAUUCACCGACACUGUUAUUCAGAAUGCGAACUUACAUGUAACGCGCCGCGAGGUAGGGCUAACGUCGUUUUGAACACAUUCGCCCCGGAGAAGCAAAACUCUGAACUCCGACGAGCAUUAGACGGUUCCGAACAUCCUGUGUUCCUGAGUCCCGAGUCCCUGAUACCGUAUUUGGCUAUACCUGCUCCCUUCUUUUAAAUACACUAGUCAGUUCUUACAUAGGU